AUGAACGCUGGCGGCGUGCCUAAUACAUGCAAGUCGAGCGAACAGAUGAGGAGCUUGCUCCUCUGACGUUAGCGGCGGACGGGUGAGUAACACGUGGAUAACCUACCUAUAAGACUGGGAUAACUUCGGGAAACCGGAGCUAAUACCGGAUAAUAUAUUGAACCGCAUGGUUCAAUAGUGAAAGACGGUUUUGCUGUCACUUAUAGAUGGAUCCGCGCCGCAUUAGCUAGUUGGUAAGGUAACGGCUUACCAAGGCAACGAUGCGUAGCCGACCUGAGAGGGUGAUCGGCCACACUGGAACUGAGACACGGUCCAGACUCCUACGGGAGGCAGCAGUAGGGAAUCUUCCGCAAUGGGCGAAAGCCUGACGGAGCAACGCCGCGUGAGUGAUGGAGGUCUUCGGAUCGUAAAACUCUGUUAUUAGGGAAGAACAAAUGUGUAAGUAACUAUGCACGUCUUGACGGUACCUAAUCAGAAAGCCACGGCUAACUACGUG
rnacentral:rRNA from 1 species